AAUAUAGAUCCCCAACCACUGACCAAACUCCACUCCAAGCAGCCACCUCCACUGGGGCUGGCCUGACUUGGCCACUUCUUUCAGUUCCCUGGAACCCCAAAGAGAUCAGCCUCUUCUGGACUGCCCCCUACCUUUGCCUUUCCCUUGAUCAUGAGGGAUUCCCUUUGGCCCACUAAAGCCUGCAGCCUCUUUCUUGGAACUACAGCUGGGUUACAUUCACUGGCAACCACAGGCAAGAGACAAGGUGAAGUUUCACCUCCUCCAUGAAGCCUUCUCUGAUCCUAUUCCUCUUCUCUGCUAGUCCAGGUGUGAAGAGCACAGCCCAACCGAUUGGAGGAUGCCCACACCAUCUGGCAAGGAACAAAGAGAGGGAGCGUUGGAGGUUCACCAGUGCACUGGGGUCAUUGUCCACUCCACCCCCAUCCCAGACCCUGAGCUCGAUGGAAGUCUGGGGAGGGGUUAUGAGAAGAGCUGGGAGUGGAGAGUGAGAUUAAAUAAAUGCUGAACGAUUGAAGAAAUU